CGGCAGACGGGUGAGUAACGCGUGGGAACGUACCUUUUGGUUCGGAACAACUCAGGGAAACUUGAGCUAAUACCGGAUGUGCCCUUCGGGGGAAAGAUUUAUCGCCAUUGGAGCGGCCCGCGUCUGAUUAGCUAGUUGGUGAGGUAAAGGCUCACCAAGGCUACGAUCAGUAGCUGGUCUGAGAGGAUGAUCAGCCACACUGGGACUGAGACACGGCCCAG
rnacentral:rRNA from 1 species